GACGAACGCUGGCGGCGUGCUUAACACAUGCAAGUCGAACGGAAAGGCCCUGCUUUUGUGGGUUGCUCGAGUGGCGAACGGGUGAGUAACACGUGAGUAACCUGCCCUUGACUUUGGGAUAACUUCAGGAAACUGGGGCUAAUACCGGAUAGGAGCUCCUGCUGCAUGGUGGGGGUUGGAAAGUUUCGGCGGUUGGGGAUGGACUCGCGGCUUAUCAGCUUGUUGGUGGGGUAGUGGCUUACCAAGGCUUUGACGGGUAGCCGGCCUGAGAGGGUGACCGGCCACAUUGGGACUGAGAUACGGCGCAGAAUGCUACGGGAGGCAGCAGUGGGGAAUAUGGCACAAUGGGCGGGAGCCUGAGGCAGCAACGCCGCGUGCGGGAUGACGGCCUUCGGGGUGUAAACCGAUUUCGCCGGUGACGAAGCGUGAGUGACGGUAAUGGGUAAAGAAGCACCGGCUAACUACGUG
rnacentral:rRNA from 1 species